rnacentral:tRNA from 1 species
GGGGGUAUAGCUCAGUUGGGAGAGCGUUGCACUGGCAGUGCAAAGGUCGUCGGUUCAAGUCCGUCUACCUCCA